UAUGUUUCGCGAAGUGACUGGAAGUGGUUCCAAGAAAAGCCUCUAAGCUUCAGCUGUACGAGACCGUACCGCAAACCGACACAGGUGGACGGGAUGAAUAUUCCAAGGCGCUUGAGAGAACUCGGGAGAAGGAACUCGGCAAAUUGAUACCGUAACUUCGGGAGAAGGUAUGCCCCGGUAGUGUGAGGCGCUUGCGCGCUUAGCAUGAUGGGGUCGCAGAGAAUCGGUGGCUGCGACUGUUUAUUAAAAACACAGCACUCUGCAAAGACGAAAGUCGACGUAUAGGGUGUGACGCCUGCCCGGUGCCGGAAGGUUAAGUGAUGGGGUGCAAGCUCUUGAUCGAAGCCCCGGUAAACGGCGGCCGUAACGAUAACGGUCCUAAGGUAGCGAAAUUCCUUGUCGGGUAAGUUCCGACCUGCACGAAUGGCGUAACGAUGGCCACACUGUCUCCUCCCGAGACUCAGCGAAGUUGAAGUGUUUGUGAUGAUGCAAUCUACCCGCGGCUAGACGGAAAGACCCCAUGAACCUUUACUGUAGCUUUGCAUUGGACUGUGAACCGGCCUGUGUAGGAUAGGUGGGAGGCGCUGAAACCGAGUCGCUAGAUUCGGUGGAGCCAACCUUGAAAUACCACCCUGGUCUGUUUGCGGUUCUAACCUUGCCCGUUAUCCGGGUCGGGGACAGUGCAUGGUGGGCAGUUUGACUGGGGCGGUCUCCUCCCAAAGCGUAACGGAGGAGUUCGAAGGUACGCUAGGUACGGUCGGAAAUCGUGCUGAUAGUGCAAUGGCAUAAGCGUGCUUGACUGUGAGACUGACAAGUCGAACAGGUGCGAAAGCAGGACAUAGUGAUCCGGUGGUUCUGAAUGGAAGGGCCAUCGCUCAACGGAUAAAAGGUACUCUGGGGAUAACAGGCUGAUACCGCCCAAGAGUUCAUAUCGACGGCGGUGUUUGGCACCUCGAUGUCGGCUCAUCUCAUCCUGGGGCUGUAGCCGGUCCCAAGGGUAUGGCUGUUCGCCAUUUAAAGAGGUACGUGAGCUGGGUUUAAAACGUCGUGAGACAGUUUGGUCCCUAUCUGCCGUGGGCGUUGGAUACUUGACGGAGCCUGCUCCUAGUACGAGAGGACCGGAGUGGACGUACCUCUGGUGUACCGGUUGUCAUGCCAAUGGCAUUGCCGGGUAGCUAUGUACGGAAGAGAUAACCGCUGAAGGCAUCUAAGCGGGAAACUCGUCUGAAGAUUAGGUAUCCCGGGGCCUCGAGCCCCCUGAAGGGUCGUUCAAGACCAGGACGUUGAUAGGUCGGGUGUGGAAGCGCAGUAAUGCGUUAAGCUAACCGAUACUAAUUGCCCGUGAGGCUUGAUCCU
rnacentral:rRNA from 1 species